GCAAAGCAGGCAGGAGAACCACUGAGCUAAAUCCCUGGCCUGACAUUCCACAUUCCUGAAAAGCUUAGAUAACUGAAUAGCUUCAAGAUCUACAAUUAGGAACUGCCCCUGAGGAAAAGAUACAAGUGAGACAUCUCUUAAUUCAAAGCUUCAGUGACACUUGAUUCAAGCUAAAAGAAUCUUCAGACACAGAAGGGGUACCAGAUGAGAGAGAAGAGAGAAUCCCAACCCAGCCACGGAGAGACAAAGCUCGGACAGGAGGAGCGCCGGGUCCUGAGGAGCAGGCGGGAGAGGAGACAGAGCCAGGCACUGUGAGCAGAGGGAGGAGAUGAAUGUGCAUGGAGCCGGCCUAAUUAUCCGAGAGUGAAAGGUCGUCAGAACCAAUUUGCGGCAUGAUGUACAAAGAUGGCAACCAACUUCAGACAACUAAACGGCAUCUUAGUAAUGAGGUGUUUGAAGGGAUCGUGUUGAGUCAAAC